rnacentral:rRNA from 1 species
GAUGAACGCUGGCGGCGUGCUUAACACAUGCAAGUCGAACGGACCAUAUUCGUAUGGUUAGUGGCAGACGGGUGCGUAACACGUGGGUGACCUGCCCUCAAGUGGGGAACAACUCCGCUAACGCGGAGCUAAUACCGCAUAUGCUCGGCGAUUCAUUUUGCCGAGUAAAGUCGUAAGGCGCUUCAGGAUGGGCCUGCGGCGGAUUAGGUAGUUGGUGGGGUAAUGGCCUACCAAGCCGAUGAUCCGUAGGGGGCGUGAGAGCGUGGCCCCCCACACUGGCACUGAGAUACGGGCCAGACUCCUACGGGUGGCAG